GUAUCUCGCUUCGACAGCACAUAUACUAAACUUGGAACUAUACAGAGAUUAAUACCUCCCCUACGCAAGGAUAACAUGCAAAUUCGUUAAGCAUUCCAUAUUUUU